AUGUCUGCUCUUUGUGAUGCUGAGAAGUCCACUAACCAGAGCAGUGAGACGCAGCAAAAGCAGCUCAUCAUGCUGAGACAGGCUCGGAGGACAGACAGGUGUUUCCUGCCUUCUGCAGGAGGCAGGGUGCCAAACGUUCAAUUACCAGUGAGUCCUGUUCAGAGGACAGCGCCUCCACCUCAGCAGGUAUAUAAAACAAACUCGCCCUCCUGCUGUCAUGGACCCAUUUCAGUCUGUUCUCUUCAGGUUUCAGGGUCAGGUGGUUCUGACUGCUCGUUGCGCUGCAGCGAUACCACAGAAGAACAGUGGGGAACAGGUGGGCAGAGCCAUGCAGGAGGUCCUGGUUCUGAUCUAGAUUCAGGAGAGCCACGACCGAAACAGGCGAGACGGGAUGGGAACCGGGAGGCUACAGCUCUGACCCAUAGAGACAACAUCCCCGGGUCAUGUGAUGCAGCUGAAGGUCCUGACCAGCAGGGGGCAGCAGAGCUCAGCGAGGACACCCGAGCAGCUCAGCUGCAGAGCGUCGGCUCUCUGAAGGUCACCAUCCAGCAGAGCAACGAGAGUCGGGAGUUUGGACAGACCGACAGACCGGCAGACAGACAGCCAGGUGGACUUCACUGUCAUGUCUGCGGCCUCACUUGUUGCUCUCUGCAGGUGAGAACUUCACCUGUACAGGUGUCUCUAUUGUGUCCCAUGUUGUCUCAGCACUGA
rnacentral:lncRNA from 1 species